rnacentral:rRNA from 1 species
AUUGAACGCUGGCGGCAUGCCUUACACAUGCAAGUCGAACGGCAGCGCGGGGCAACCUGGCGGCGAGUGGCGAACGGGUGAGUAAUAUAUCGGAACGUGCCCUGGAGUGGGGAUAACGUAGCGAAAGUUACGCUAAUACCGCAUACGAUCCAAGGAUGAAAGCAGGGGACCUUCGGGCCUUGUGCUCCUGGAGCGGCCGAUAUCUGAUUAGCUAGUUGGUGGGGUAAAAGCCUACCAAGGCGACGAUCAGUAGCUGGUCUGAGAGGACGACCAGCCACACUGGAACUGAGACACGGUCCAGACUCCUACGGGAGGCAGCAGUGGGGAAUUUUGGACAAAUGGGGGCAACCCUGAUCCAGCAAUGCCGCGUGUGUGAAGAAGGCC